UGGGAUUUAUUUACUUGUGUAGGUAGGAAGCACCUGCUCUGGUCUCUACCCAAUUAAGAAGACUCUGCAAAGAACAGAAUGUUCGCACGGACUAUCUCUCUCUCUCUCUCUCUCUCUCUCUCUCUCUCUCUCUCUCUCUCUCUCUCUCUCUCUCUCUCUCUCCCUCUCUCUCUCCACCCCCCCACUUCUACACACAAAGCAAAGGCGGUAUCCACGCCUGUUUUUAAGGGCGGUAUCCAUGCCUGUAGCUCAUACAGGAACUGAAAAACAACACAGCAGCAAAAGAAAGAAGACUGCAAGACUGUAAGGCAAAUAUUGCAUCUCUCUCUCUCUCUCUCUCUCUCUCUCUCUCUCUCUCUCUCUCUCUCUCUCUCUCUCUCUCUCUGUGGACACCUGCAAUAAACUAUAUCAGCGUGAUUUAUGAAGAUCUACUAAAAGAGCCCAGGUUGAGAGAUCUCCAGUUGGACCUCUAUCUGAGUGCUGGAAGGAUGGGAGAAAAUAAGCAAUGGCUGCUGACACCCAAUUCACAUCCCCACACCAGCUGCCUGAAAAAGUGUUUGCAGAAUUAUUUUGGUUCUCAGCCUGAUGUGGAACAAGCGAUUCACUCUGAUCAUGUGACGCACCGUUCUAUUUGGUCCAGAAAGCUUUUAAUUGUGGCUUUUCUCGCUGUGCUCGCUCUGGCUGUCAUGGGACUUUUGCUGUUCUGGAACUACCAGUGCAUCUUUGUUUGGCGGAUGUGCUACGAAGGCCAGGAUCUCUCCGGCGUUUCUGAAGCUGGAGACAUAUGAAGAGUACAUGUGACGGAAAGAAACGCAUCUAAAUCACACGCUUGAGUUAUACAGUAAACGUAUACAGUACACGCCUUUGAACUUGUGAUGAUGAAUAGAAGUCAUUUUGCACCGUUGAUGCACUGAUGCUGCUUUUAGAUUUCGAAAAACUGUGAGGCGUAAUUGUGCCAGCUAGUGAAUAACGAUUGAUUCAGAGUAUCUGUUUAUAAUGACAAUAACUCAUUCAGUUACAGUGGUCACAGUUCAGCCUUAUUAAAUUUAUUGCAACCUUUUCGAGUUUGCUGGCAUCGUGUGCCUUGGAUUCAAUUGUGUGACAUACUAGAGAUGAAAAAAGAUACUGCCUCACCACAAGCCACCAGAACAGAUUCGGUGUGUACCUUAGCACUACUGAUUCUGCAAGUCUCUGGAACGGAUAAUGUGUUUUGAUAACAGAGUGCUGUGUAGUAACUGAUCUGAUCUGGUUACGGUGAAGGCAUGUGGUUUUCAUCAUUCACUCCUCAUCAAACCAUUCACUGAAUUCUCGUGCCUUGUAUACGGGAUGAAGUGGAGUCCUGUGUGUCCCCUGCCUUGUAUCCUGAGUCCCUGGGCUGGGCUCCAUGUUCCCUGUCAUAUGUCUCAGGGAACAUGGAGCCCAUCCCAGGGACUCAGGGUACAAGGCAGGGGACAUACAGGACAGGUUGCGAACCCACAACCCAGGAGGUGCUAGAUAAAUACAAAGUAAUACUGAAGUUUAUUUCCAUAUCAUACACAGCACACACACUAUCACUGCACUGUAAUGACUAUAUAGUGAACACAGCCUUUUAAUGAUUUGACUGUGCACCACAAGAGGGAGGUGAAGACCACAAGAAAAGAGUGUGAACUCUCUGGAAUUGCCUGUGUUUCUGAUGUUCAUAAAGUUUGAACUUGUUCAAUAGAAUGUGAAUAAAUAUAUUUUAAAUAGUCAAA